UUCACAAAAAUUUAAACAUCUCAUAAAAUAUAACUCAUAUACCUGUUUUGUUCCAUUCAUAUGAAAAUAGACUCAUUAUUCUUUAAUUACAUAUUUUAUUCAUCAUCUAAUCAUAUCUCUACUAUUUUUAAUGAUUUUUCAAACUCACGUCACUGCUGCUGUCUUAAUCUAUUUUAUGGUAAAUUUUACCUAUUUCAUGGUUUCCAUGGAUUAGCUAGUAAUUUGACAUACAUAAAACCAAAUAUGAUCAUGAUUAGCCAUUCCAAUGGCUAAUCAUUACCAAGCAUUUCCACACCACUCAAUAACCAUAUCAUAAGACCAUAUAUACAAAAUGAUUACAAUGCUAUACAUGCCAUACUCAAAAUAUACAAGCCAUUAUGCCAAGAUGGUAUACGGAUAGUGUGAGCGAGCCUCCGACCGUUCCCGAUUUCCUAGCUGGCUUGUCAAAACUACAAGGAAUAAAAAGGAGGGAGUAAGCAUAAAUGCUUAAUAAGUUCACAUGCAAAAAGCAAGUAACAUAACCAUAUAAGCAAACAUAAAACAUCAUUUGCAUAAUCAUCACCAAGACAUUCAUAUCACAUUUUCAUUUAUCAUCUUACCAUAUUGUUGUUAUAUCGAUUUUUCAACCCGAGGGUUAAGUACAUACCUGUUCAAAGUACCCAUUUCACAACACUUACCAAUACGUCCCUUUCAUCUUGAGUAUUCCUCCAUUUUAGUAGAACUUUACCCGUUGAACACAUCGGAAUAUAAUUCGGAUACAUGGAAAGUUUGCACAUAUGUAGCCAAGCUACCAUAUAACCCGCCCAUAAGCGAACUCGGACUCAACUCAACGAGCUCGGGUGUUCGCAUCCAUAAAUGAACUCAGACUCAACUCAACGAGCUCGGAUGCCUAGUUACAUCUGACGAACUCGGACUCAACUCAACGAGUUCGGACGCUCGCAUCCAUAAGUGAACUCGGACUCAACUCAACGAGUUCGGAUGCCCAAAUAUCCCAGUGACAUGUCACUUGUAUCCUAAUCUAUUCCUAAGGUUCAAACGGGAUUUUUUCCUCGAUCUCACAUCUUUGCCGUCUUCCACGGAAUAUCGAAAUCGAUACUUCGGUGAUAGUUCAUACUCAUCAAGUAAUUCACAUAAUUACAUAUUAUUCAACAAUAACCACAAAGCAUAAUAUUUCAUGAUAAUAAUCAGCAUCAUAUCAUAUAAACAACAUUAAAUUGAUUAAAAUGACAAUUAUGUUACUACAUUUACACAUGAACUUACCUCGUAUGCGAAAAUGACUACUUUUACCAUUUCGUCCACAACUUGGUAUUUUCCCCAUUUUAGCCCGAAUUUCAGUUUUCCUUGCUCUAUCAUUUAAAAUAUAGUCUAAUUAGGACUCACAUUAUUCAAAUUGACCCAAAAUCAUAUUUUGUAAAAAUUAUAAUUUUGCCCCUAAACUUUUGCAUAUUUACACUUUUGCCCUAAAGCUCGUAAAUUAAACUUCAGCCUAUUUUCUUUUGUUUUAUGACAUGCUGAUCAUUUUUCCCUUCUAUGGCAACAUCAAAUUCUCACUCUAACAUGUACUUAUGACUAUUAGGUAUUUUUACCGAUUAAGCCCUUUUGCUCGUUUUCACUUAAAACCGAGUAGCACAAGUUGUCUAACAUAAUUUAAAACCUCAUAUUCUAUCAUAAAACACCAAAAUACACAAAUUUCACCUAUGGGUAUUUUUCCAAAUAUAAACCCUAGGUUAAAUUAUUGCUAGCAUAAGCUAAAUCGAGCUACCGGGACUUCAAAAACGUAAAAAUCAUUAAAAACGAGGCUAGAACGGACUUACAAUCGAGCUUGGAAGCUUGAAAAACCCUAGCCAUGGUUUCUCCUUGCUAUAUUCGGC
rnacentral:lncRNA from 1 species